CAAAACUAAGUCCUUGUUCCAGCAGGGAUGGACAGUCAACCAAUAAAUCAUCUUUGAGUGACAGUAAUAAAUACUAUGGAGAAAAAUAAAGCUGGGUAAGAGAGAUAGGGGGUGAACGGAGGUAUUCAGACUUUCAUUUUAGAGCUUAAAGGAUCAGUUGAAGUGUUGGCAGUUGCAAAGACCAGCAGUUAGUGGGAAAUAAGGAAAACAGUGUGUAUCAGCAGGGUUCAGUUGCAGGAAACAGAAACCACUCUAGCUAUUUUAGGCAGAAAGGCAAUGAACAGAGAGAAGCAGGUGUUUACUGCAUUGUUUGGAAAGCUGGAGGAGCUGACUUGGUUCCAUAGCUGCCACUGCUGUGAAGCUCGGAGAUCAGGAGGCCGCCGCUGUAAGGAAUGACUGAGAACACACUGCUGUCCCUGAAAUGUGAGAAGUAAGAAGUGCCUGUCACCCCCCUUCUGACUAUCUCUUAGCACUCAUUAAAUUAGUGACCAAAAGCCCCCGUGUCUCCACAAUCGUGUUUGCCAGUGGUUCCAGCGAAAUCAACGGCAAGGUGGAUUUUGCUUCAAUUCUGACUUCCAGCCUCACGCAAAUGCGUAUAAUUAGUCGACCCUAAUUCACAAUUAGAAAUCCAGCUGCAAGAAAGACUAGGAAACAUGGUUCUAGAUUUCCAACCUCUGUGUUAGAAAAAGACACACGAGAAGGAAUUGGGAAUGAGCCUAUUCAGGACAUCCAUACAUCUCCAGGAAACCACUCUUUGCCAAGAAGACCAAAGGAAGUAGAAAAUCCAAGACUUUAAAUCCAACAGGAGCACAAGAAUACCACCCGUAGCCCAUGACGUCAGCAUGAGAAGAGACAGAAUACCCCAAACUUCAAAUUACCAACAAGGCGAGAAAUGAAGGCUGUAUCCCAAGAGAGCUCCUAUCACUUGUCACUAUAAGCUGGGUCAGCACGUGGGCAGCUUAACAUACACGAAGCUUUCAGACACCUGUGUCUCAGGAUCAGUGACUCCUUUAAGUCUCCAGAUCUCCUGAAGGGGUGUCUGUUGCUCGUGCUCAGGCGGAUCACUCAGUGUGCCCGUCAGCUGUGCCCUGCGGUCUGUGCUGUGGCCUGUGAGAUGGAUGCCAGCAUCACAUUGCCACUCAGCAAGGUCAGUGACAAACAUGGGAAACUACAGGGUGGUCGUACGUGAAAUACGUGCAGAAAACAAAAGCUGAGCGUGGCUUCCGUAGCACAAAUACAAAAUGCCCCGAAUGCUUUUCCCGCAGUGGUUUUGUCGUUCGCUGUAUGGUCUGAAUCCACAACUAUUCAUUCUGAUAUUUAGUAAUUCCUUUUUUUUGUUUGUUUGUUUGAUAAAUAAACAAUGUGGGGAACAAUAUACUUUUUUAAAAAGUAUGUGCUUAGUGAAAAAAAUGAUUACUAUCUUUUUGAUUCUUGGGGAAGUUAUGAUGAACAUGUAAUUUACACUAAAUUUUUGUGACAUUCACCAUCCAGCCAGGGACUGGCCACAAGGAAACCUGUGGACAAAAUCUACUAAAGGACUGUCAGCAUCUAUUUUAGAAGUUAGUGGUUAUUUUAAGAAGAUUGUAGGGGCACCUGGGUGGCUCAGUCGGUUAAGCGUCCAACAUCAUCAGCUCAGGUGAUGAUCUCGCGGUUUUUGAGUUUGAGCCCCGCGUCAAGCUCUGUGCUGACAG